AAAUGAAAGUAAAAACGCCAACAAAAAUUACGCUUACAUACGCUUCCAGAUAUGAAGAGUAUGGCCGUAAUGGCUCAGAUACCAUGAUGGCUAAGCCAAUGAAAGCUCUUGAAUUGCAUUAUCCAGUGAGCCAGUUUUUAUUAAUAUUCUAUAAUGUAUUGUUCUAUUGUACGAAAUAAUCGUAUUAGUUAGAGACUCAAUAGAAAGCGCGUUCAGUUGAAAGAUAAAUCCGUGAACAAAACAUCUCAGCUUGGCUGCUUGUUCAAGUCCUGAGAUCAACUGUUUGUAAAGCUAACGAAGAUGAAGAAUACCUGUGUAAUUUUGCUAGUUCUUCUUGUUGUAGUCUGUUCAGCAGCGCAAUUUCCAUUUCAACGUCGAGUGGAGGAUACUCAACAGGGAAGGGCAAGGGAGUUGCGUGGUUCUUUAUUUAAAAGAUUUGAAGAAGGGGGUAUCUGUGAAGGCUGUGCUCAAAUGGUGGCCAAUGAGUGCUUUUGUUAUCAGAUAACAUACUGUCGUGGAAUGGGAUGCGCAGACAUUGGUUCGUGUAACAGAUCUAACUGCCAGAGUCUACGUUAGAAUACAAGGCACAGAAAUGCGUGAUAUAUUGAGACGCACCCAUUACCUCGGACGAGCUGUACGUUGUUAUAGAAACGCUUAAGUCACGCUCGACUUUCUUAUUAUAGUUUAGCACAUUUUUAACUGACAACUGUAAAAAUCGCUAUAAACGAAAUUUAAACCUUUUUUAACUGUGUUUUACUCCAUAGUAAAGUGUUGUGUUUUUAUGACUCUUAAUGCACAAAUAGAACAGUAAAAGCCUUCAUUGCAAUCAAAGUCUUCAUUUUAAAAAUCUUGGAUUAAUUAAGUUAGUAACUAGCUGACACUUGCAAACAGGGAAACAACGCCCUUGUACGAAUUUCACUAAAUAGAUAUAAUAAGUUUACCACUUUUAUAUUCAUUUCAUAUUUAUCCAUUCCCUGUCACAUGUUAUAAAGUAAAACGAUCAAUAUAGACAUCAAAAGAAGAGUUACAAAACAAUA